AAUGUGCACCGCCCGACCGCCAACCGCCCCCGGGGGUGGUCGAUACGUGUCGCACGGUGUCCCCUUUUCGCGCGACACACACCGCGAGGUGUGCAUGUGAAGUGCGAACGCGGUAGCCACAAGUGGUCAUUGAGAGCUGCAAGCCUUGCAGGGUGCGCUCCAACACACAUUUACAUAAAACAAAAGCUGGGACGAAGUACAGCAAACGAACAAAAAAUGUAAAAGAAGAUGCAGGAAGUACAAGCGUUGCAUGCUUGAGUAAUGAUAAAUCCAGUAAUUGAUAACAUUAAUUCUAAUCUUGACCCAAUAUGCGUUUGUUUUGUAAUAUCAACAAUAAUAUACAUAUUUCGCAAUUUAUCGCAUAUGCACAUUGCUCGGAAAAAAUAACAGCAACUAUGUAUUUAAUGCGAAUUCGAAAAUCAUAGUGUGCUAUUACUUGCUAGAACGUCGUCCAAAAUGAGAGUUGCAUGGUUGUUGCUGGGCUCGUUGCUGACCAUCACGUCCGCAUACCCCCAUUACCAACAACAAUGUCAAAACAGUUGUGUGUGUUGUUCUCCACCAGUUGUACACAGUUACAGCCACAAAUGUUGUACAAGUCAUUGUAAUACCAACUGUAAUACCACCACAACAACAACAACAACAGUACCUCCUAGCAUAUCACAGCCAAACCAGAGUGGGACAUCUUCACAUACGUCUUCACACUCGUCCAAUAAUAACAUUCAAAACUCUUUGGAUUCAGAAAUUACUAUACCCAUCGACAUAGUCAAUACUGUGAAUAAUGAAAAUCGAAUUCAUGUACCAGUCACGGUUGAUUCGACAAAUGUUAACAAUGUACAUGUAAGAAUAAUAGCACCAACACCUACAAAAAUUACACCUGAAAAACCUCCACCACCAAAACCCAGGGAAAAUGAACAGAGUAUUACUACAACAACAACAACAACAACAACAACAUCAACGGAAAAGCCAUACCAGCAUCCAAAAAUUAUAUAUGUACACCGACCAAUGUAUUAUCCGCAACCGCAAUGUUGUGUGAUUGUUCAACCAUGUCUGCAACAGCACUGUCCACAAAUCCAACAUUGUGGGCAGGAGUGUACCAGUUCGCACGUGUACCAACCUCACAACCCUUGCUUGUACCAAAAAUGCGAACGCCGCGAAUAUGUCCAAAGACGUGUGUGCACAGAACAAUCCUGCAGUGUCCAGAGACAAUCAUGUUCUGGAUGUUAUAAUAACAAUUGGUAUUCCACCUACCAUGGAUACCAACAGUGCAAAGGAUGUUAUCACUCCUCGUCUAUGCCCUCCUCCCACUCCUCUUAUAAAAAGUAAAACUAUUUUCAUUAUAUACCUAUAGUUAAAUAUAUAUGUGUUCAACUUGUU